CGCGCCUCGAGCUGCCGAGUGCGGGGAGGGAACGAGACUCCGGCUCGCCUGAUGGAUUGACUUGGAGAUGGAUCGAAUUACACCAUUUGCCGUGCCUCGAUUUGUUUUGCUCCCGCUUGGUCCGGCUGCUGCUGUCGCUGCCGCUGCUGCAAGGACUGGUGGCGGCGAGUUUCAGGAUUAUACCGAAGAAACCAAAACCUGAAGAGACACAGGGAUAUAUAUAUAUAUAUUUUUUUAAAUUUUUUAAUUUUCAUUUCUCCCUGAGCGUAACAAGCUUUUAUUAUUUUUUUAAACCAAGCCUCCCCCCAUGAGGAGCUGUGAGUUUGUGAUAAGGGUGGAUGAUAAAAAGGAAAGCCAGCCAUACUUUUCCCUCCAAAGGUAAGCCACACUUUCCCUCCAAAGGUAAUUUCAAGUGUUCAGCCUGUUUGCAUGAAUAAAGCACCAAUUAUUUUUCUAUACCUCCCCAGGAUGCUGCCUGGGACAGCAGUAGAAUUGUGGGCCCCAGGUCCAAGGCAUUAAUCAUUAAAGGAAAUAGGUCAGAGAAUAUUGCUGGAACAUUAAAAGUCCUAUAUAUCUAUCCCAGCAAUAGUAAGAUCAGUGGAAGUCCAAGUCUUAACUGUGGUUAGAUCAGCAGUUUUAAGAGACCACCUUCCCCACAUACUGUAACAUCAUUCAGUGUUGCUGUGUGUCUGUUAUAUGGUGACUGGGGGUAACCUAUUGCUAGCAGUUCACCAUGAGUGGGAAAGGUGCUCUUGAGAGAUUUUGUAAGUUUUCUUUUUUUCUCCAAAAGAUACAGAGUUGCAUCUAUCAACUCAUCUAACCAGUAGCCAUUAAAAAAACAACAACAACAACCUGUAUGGUACUGAUGAGCCUAUUGUAGGGCAGGAAUAGAGAUGCAGACUUGGACAUAGUGAGGAAAGGGGAGGAUGGGACCAAUUGGGAGAGUGAUAUUGACAUGUAUACAAUACCAUGUGUAAAACGAUAGCUAGUGGAAAGCUGCUGUAUAGCCCAGGGAGCUCAGCGCUCUGCGAUGACCUAGAGGGGUGGGGUGGGGGAGUGGGAGAGAGGUACAAGAGAGAGGGGACAUAUGUAUCCAGGUGGCUGACUCACUGUUGCACAGCAGAAACGAACACAACAUUGUAAAGCAAUCAUACUCCAAUUAAAAGCAAAACAACUAUGUACCCACCACUUUUUAAGGAGUAUAUUUAUGGAUGUAAAGGACAUAGUCUUCGCACUCAAGGAAUUCACAGUGUGAGGCUGGGUGGGGGGAGAGAAUAUUGAGAAAAUAAGGAAUUUAUUCUAUUUUUAUUUUCUAUAUUUUAUAUUUAUAUAGAUAUAUUUAUUUAUUAUUAUGUAUAUAGCAUAUUGUAUGCUAUGUGCUCUGAGAAAAGGUGAGCCCAGGUUUUGGCAACAAGUGGAGGAAAAAAGGAGAGCCUGGUGGGAAGUGAUCUCUGAUUAGAAACUGACCACAUGAAGCAAGAGGGAGAACAAGAAGGGUGCCUGAAGUGGUAGGCACAGCAUGUGCAAGGCCAAGAGACAGGAGAAACGGUGUUGUUUUUAGAAUUCAGUGAAUUCAUACACCCAGAAUUGGGGUAUUAAAAGAGGUGUCCUCUAAGAGAAGUGAGACCCAAAUGCUGACCUCUGAACCUUUUGGUUCCUCAUAGUUGUAAGGUCCUUGGACUGCAAGGAGAUCAAGCCAGUCAAUCCUAAAAGAAAUUAACCCUGAAUAUUCAUUGGAAGGACUGACGCUGAAGCUGAAACUCCAAUACGUUAACGACCUGAUGCGAACAGCCAAUUCAUUGGAAAAGACCCUGAUGCUGGGAAAGAUUGAAGGCAAAGGAGAAGGGGGUGGCAGAGGAUGAGACGGUUGGAUGGCAUCACCUACUCAGUGGACAUGAAUUUGAGCAAACCCCAGGAGAUGAUAGUGAAGGACAGGGAAGCCUGGCGUGCCGUAGUCCAUGCCGUUGCAGAGUCAGGAGAACUCUGUUCAGUGACUGAACAACAACAGCUUGUAAAUUCACCACUGAAUGUCACUGUGGAACUUAGGUUUUCUUUUUCUAUGCAAAUCCACUUUGAGCCUUUCUGACAUUAGCCACUAAGGUGAUAGAGCAAUGAGCCUGGAGACAGAUGACCUAGAAGCCUGACCUGCAGCAGUUCUUGAACUCCUCAUCUCUACAAUAAAGAUUCAUUCAUUCACUCAGCAAACAUUCUCUAAGUAGACACUGUGUACCAGACAACGCAGUGGUUGUGGUUGUAAAGAUAAAGCAGAGAACAGAACAGAUGUAACUUCUGUCCUCAUGAAGCUGACAUGUUGUUCAGUGGAGAUAAUAAUUUCUGUCUUAAACCUUUAAGGGCCAAAAUAGAUAUAUCUGCUUUAAAAAGUGCAGGACGCUAUAAAAGUGAACAGCCCAUUGUCCGUGGUCCCUGGUCUGGGAUGACUGUCACUGAGAGCUGGGAUUUCCUGAUCCCUGCCUAAACACAGAAGAAGUUAGUGAAAUACCUCCAGCAGAUCAGCUACCAAGUACCUCUAGAACGCAGAGAAGGGCUAAGAAACUUAGUGGUUCCUGGUGUAUGUGACCUGAACUUCCCAUGAGCAUGUCCCUCAAUUUAAAGAAGAAAUUGAAAAUGAUCUUUUUGAUCAUAGGGAGGGCCCGCACCACCUCACCCCUGGGUCCAGAAAUUAGAGAUCAGCAUCUAAAGGCAAUUUUUCUAAGACCACGUGAGUGUGAGGGGGAAAAGUGCACCCUCUGCCUUUCCAUCUGGCUUAGAGUCAGAAUGCCAGAUCCACACACAUCAGCAUGUGUAGAGACGCGUUCUGUGUUGAACACAUCUGUCGGUUUGUACUACAGAGCCCGUUUGUGGUUUGGUGUUACAGAUCAGAGCCAGCGAUCACAGCUCUCCUGUCUCGGGGUUCAGAGGGAGCAUGUGCGUUUUGUAUCCUAGGCAACGCCAAUGCUAUAGGAAAAAUUUACAAGUGUGAAUUGGGAAUUCUGUUCCUUUUGGUGAAGAGCCCUUUUCAACUCAGGCACCUAAGUCAGAAUCAAUAAAAUCUAGCGACUUAGAAGGACCUUAGGGAUCAUCGAUGUUCUAGCCCAACCCCUUGUUUAUAGAUGAGGAAACUGAAGCCAGAGGAGGUGGGGCCUCUGGGCUCCUAGAGGAGAAUCUAGAUUUCUCAAGGCCCUGUUAUCUCCAGGUGUGUUUGAUAUGUUUGAUGUUUGGGGUGAGGUUAACAUCCCCUCAGGUGAGUCAUAAGAAGAGGCGAGAAUAAAUGUAAAUAAAGGUCAUAUAACACUUGAGGCAUAAUUCUCUCCAGCAAUAGCUUGAGCCACACAGCCCUUCCUCAAGGUUGUGCGGUUAGCCUUGCACCUUCCUGGUACUCACCUGACCACAGAACAGGAUCAAAGGAGCUCAGGGCACCUCACCUCCUAGGGAACUCAUCCAGUCCUCACAGCAUCUUUCCCUGAGAGGAGCUGCUAGUUCUCCCCACUUCACAGGGAGACAAGCACAGAGCAGUUAAGCAGCUUGCCCCAGGCUAAUUAAGGGGCAAAGCUGGCUCUCCUCCCUAGGCAUUCUGGCUCCAGAGUCAUGUUCGCAAGUUGGUACUGCACUGCUCAGCACUCACUCAGGCUCCAGCCCAGAGGAGGAAGGACCUGACUGCUCAUACCCUCUGGGUGUUGAAUCGAUUUGGUAAAAAUCAAAAAUUGGCAUCAGUCUACAUAAACUCCCAUUUUGCUUCUGUGAACACAGAGGUUUCUGAAGCUGAUAGAUUCAGAGCCCAGACAAAGGGCUCCAGGUGACUCCCAGGUAAACUGACUCUGGCCCUGACUGAGCCCUCACAAAGCUUUCUCUGGCCAUAAAAUUCACUUGGGCCAUGUAUUAGUCCAGGACUUCUGGCUGAAUGAAGACUUAAUUUGCAUCAGUAGAACAAAAGAACAUUUUUUAGAAGUUGUUUUGAACCGACUAUAAACUAACAGGAAAUUGCAACAGUAGCAGAGAACCGUGUACUUUUCACCCAGGAAGUGGAUUUUUAAAAACAAGUCACAGUUCUUGAAUACAGAUAAUAGUAGUGCUAUGCUUUAGAUCCUUCUGAACAGUUAGUCAUCAUUCUCUACAUUUCCCAUAAACAAGCAACUGUUAACUGUGUUUUCAAAUAGGAGGGCAGAUACAAAGGCAACUGGAAGCCAUAGUGCUUAGAUCAGAAAUUUUUGGCUUUACAAAUAAGUUUAAAGCGCACUUUUCUUUCUCUUGGUUGUUAAGUUUAACCCUGCUAUAAACCCUUCAGCAACUGCUUUAAAUCAUGACAUCACCUAGGAACCUCUGGUGAGGGGCCUUGCAGAAGAUGAAACAGGAAGACAAGAGCUUCUUCAUGUUAGAGUGAAUCCCUGCCGUGGGCAGGGCUGAGCAACGUAGAUCACUAGACUCCAGUGACAUCCGGGUUCUACACUAGUUUCACGACUCCUGGACCUUAAGUCCCUUAAUUUAUGUCCUCAUUCUUUCCUAGGAAUAGGAGCAGCAACCCAUCCUCAGUCCUUCCUUGCUUGGGUAUUUUUCAGGUCCUUUGGAAAUCCUAAAAUAAAAAGAAAAGGCACUGUGGAGGAUACUGAAAGCUGUGUCUCCAUAGAGGCGGCAUCAGACAUGCCAGUAGAAUCAGAGCAGACAUGCUCUACUUCUGCCAUCCCAGCCUGGAGGGAGGAACCAGGCACAGACCCAGGCCCUAUUAUACUGAACUGAAUGUCAUGGCGCAGGCCAUACGGCAGCCUCAGCAGGUCAGCUGCUAGAAGAAGCCAGUGUUCCAAAGACAGGCUGAGUCCCUUUGGCAUCUCAGUCAUCCCUGGGAACCCUGAGCCCUUCCUUUGUCUAGAAUAGUUCCUUUCGUGGAGGCCAAAGGGGAACAGCCAAGUCGGGCUGGGACCACACAUUUGGAGGAGAUAGCAAAGGAAAAGCUUUUCAUGUCUUGUCACUAGUCAGCCCUAAAAGCCUUGCGGUCCUCCCUGAAGAAAGGACACACCGUUGUGUUCAUCUCUGCCACAGCAACCUUCUGCUUUCUUUCUCUUUUUUCAAUUGUAGAUGAAUCCUGUGUUUUACAUUUUCACAAAGCUAGUUCUCAUCCUGGUCUCUUAAGAAGCUGAUGUGUUUUGCCAUCUGCCUGGUUAGCAGAUAGUCUCUGCUUAGAUUGGGGCUCAUCCUCUCAUUAGUUUCUUGUGUUAAUUUCACUUUAAAUGAAGAUUGUUUCUAGAGUGGUUUAGCUUUAAAAGUGUUACCCAAUUGGAGUUAGGACGGACAGGCAGGAUCUUGCAGGCAAGUUGUCACUGGAAUUAUGCUCCCCAGAGCCAUGGUUCUGAUCAGAGGUUGAAUUCUGGGAUUCCUAAUCAGAUUUGCUUAGAAUUUGGCAGAGACAGGUUAGAUCCUGUUUUCUGUCCCUUCCUGCUCAAUUCCUUUUAAGUGCUACUCCUUUUUGAAUUAUUAAUAUUUGACCAGAAGCAUUACUGAUGGAGAUAUUGUUAUGCUUUGCUUUAAGAAAAUCUAGGCUUAAAGGGAAAAUCUUACGUAAGAGCUGCUUUAGUUUUCAGAAAACGUCUUUAAAUAGCCAGCUUUCCUCAUGCAUGUAAAACAUAAUUAAAAUAAACAAAACUGACCCAGCUUUUAGGAAGACAUUGAUUAUAAAAGCAAAGCAUUAAUAAAGAGCGCAACAGGCUUCCAUACCCUGCAGUGUGUCCUUUCCUGCCUUCUGCGGCGUCUGCUGCCACCUUUCUUUCUCUUCUAUCAGAAUCUAGCCCCAAGGAAAGAUCUUAUAAAUGUAUUCAUACUGAUUUCUGGCUUAUGUUAUGCUCUAGCACUGCAUACUUUAUACCUGGAAAAAAAGGCUGUCAGCCAAAGAACAUAAUUUCCCAUUGUAGAGUCUCCAGCAUCAGGCAGCCAUUAGGCAGGCUGGUUUUUAUUUUAUUUUUGCUUGUUGGGUAGUGGGGAGUCACACAGACUUCCUUUUCUGCCUCUAUAUACCCUGCUCUUUAAUCUCAGGAAUAUCUCUGCUUUCCUUUUCUUGUACUGGGAAGACUGUAAAAGGAGGAGGAAUUUCAGUGUGGGGGUGGAAGGGCGGUGACAGAAAUCACUUACUCUCUUGGCCUGUGUUGCCCAUCCCUCCUGGAUUAAAGAGCAGUUUUUAAUGAUGCGAAGGUGUGAAAGGAGGCAUCUGUUGCUAUUAGUAAGAACCUGUUGGUUUGGGAGCACCUGGAAGUGCCCGGGGCUGAUGAGGCUCAUGUACUAGUACUGUCAGAGGAAAGCGGUAGACCCGAGACUUGGUGUUUGUGGCAAUGGUGAUGAAGCAUUCAAGCCAAGGCGCCUGUGCCAUCACUGCUAAGUCAAUCACAUGUGUAGCCUUUGUCUAUUUUUCCUCUAUCCUUUACGUACUCACUGAGGACCUCCUUACAUGCCAGGCUCUGUGCCUGAUGCAAAGGAUAAACAGGAUGAAUACAAUGUACUCUUUCUCAAGCAGUCCUAGUUUAGUCGGGAAAAUGUGGAAAUAAGUAACAUUAUGAGGAGUGGUAAGUUCUGUGUUAGAAGUAUUUACAGUGUCAUCAUAUGAUUAGUCAUCCUGAGGGAAACAGAGUAGCCUGGGGAGAGAGGGAUUUGGAGUAUGGGAAGAAUGGGAAAGUGGCAAAGGCCAGGGACAUUUUGAGCUGGUAAGUAAACAAUUUCCAGGAAGAGCUUUUGAGGGAGUAUACUGUGUAUAGAAGACACUACUUUAGGAUCAAGGCUGGGAAGCAUCUAGAACUGAAACAGAGAAGCUAGCAAGAAUCAGGCGGUGGAGGACCUUGUACAUCUUGGAAGUGCAUUUGGACUUUAUUAUAUAGGCCUUCAGGAGCCAUAAAAUAGUUUUUAGACAAGGAAUUAACAUAAUGCUAUUUGGACUUUGAGAAGAUUAUUCUGGUGGCUUUGUGGUGAAUCAUCUAGAAGUCUAGAAGGGCAGAAACCAGCCCAGAGUGGAUUCUAGAAUGUGGAAAAGAGAGAAACAACAGGACAUACUGACAGGUUGAAAAUGGGAUGAUGGGGCAGGGGAGAUCUAGGAUGACUCCCAGGUUUAAGGCUUCAGUGACUGAGUAGGAUGUUGAAAUACAAAUAAUAACAACAAUAUUGUUGUAACAGUAAUUGCAACAAUAAUAGUGGUAAUUGUUGGAUCUAUAUCAGGUACAAAAGUUUAGCUAUGUGCUUUGAGUAGAUUAUUUUAUUGAAUCAUUGUAAUAUUAGUGCUAAAUUAUCUUCAUUUUAGGCAUGAAAACUUGAGACUUGGAGAGGUAAAGUAGGGUCACAUUGCUGAUGAGUGAUGAUGCAUGAAUCUGAACCCAAGCAUUUGAAGCUCAGAGCCUGCCCUCUGUAGGGAAUUUAACAAGAGUACAAGUCAAGGCACAGUCCCUAAAUUUCAGGCUUGCACCUUCCAAAUUUAAGUUGCCUAUAUUUCAUAAGCCAAAAUAUCUAGCAAGAAAGUUGGACAACUGGAUCUGGAGCUGAGGAGUAUGGUCUCUGCUGGGCACAUGGAGCUGAGGAUCCAUCAGUUAACUGGUGGUAGUGAAGAAGGUGGGUGUGAUGUGGGUGAAUCUCCAAAGAGCCAGUGGGAGUCAUGACGAACCACAUCUAAGGGUGGGCACGUUUGGACGAGUUUGGGAAGGUUGCUGAAAUGGAGUAGCUAGAGAGGUGAGGAGUUAACUAGGAAAUCCAGAGGUCCAGUUUCAAGAUCUGAUGGAGGGACCAACAUGACUGAAUGCUUCAGGGAUAUGAAAGAAGAUUUGAAAUGAGAAUUGACUUGGAUUUGACCAUAUGGUAGCUGAUGGGCAAGAGUUGAAGUUAGACUGGGGGGGAUUAAAAUUUUAAUAAAAAGUGAGUAAAGGGAGACAGUGAGCUCAGACUUCUUAUCAAAGAAGUUUGACUGGAGAGGGGGUGAGACGGGGAGGUAACAGAGGCAGCCUUAGGAUCAGGGGGACCCAGUUUGCGAUGGAGUCACUUGAGAUGCUGGUAUGUGACAGGGAAAGACCAUGUGGAGCAGUGGGUGUUACACCAGGAUAUUUAUCUGGGCAGGCAGGAAAGUUAGAAUCUGCCCUCCAGUCCGCAAAAGGAGCUCACAGACUCUGAGAAAAAGUGCUCCUACACUUCGAAUGUGCCUACCGUUUAUUACAUGAAGAAACUCAAGCCCCAAAAGUGAAGUGACCUGGUGCCUGGUCCCUUUCCGCCCCCGCUGCUGGUGUCCGUGGGAGAAGCAGCCCUGAUGCGCCUUCCGGUCCCAAGCUCCCAGUCCUCCAGACCGACUCUUCCCUGCUCCAUCAGAAGGCACAUCCUUCUAGCUUCUGACAUAC
ensembl:lncRNA